UACGAGGGGGGCUAGCGUUGUUCGGAAUUACUGGGCGUAAAGGGCGCGUAGGCUGUGCUGUAAGUCAGGCGUGAAAGGCCCGGGCUCAACCUGGGAACUGCGUUUGAUACUGCGGCGCUGGAAUGCAGGAGAGGAUGGCGGAAUUCCCAGUGUAGAGGUGAAAUUCGUAGAUAUUGGGAAGAACACCGGUGGCGAAGGCGGCCAUCUGGCCUGCAAUUGACGCUGAGGCGCGAAAGCGUGGGGAGCAAACAGG
rnacentral:rRNA from 1 species